rnacentral:misc_RNA from 1 species
GUAAAUAACAAUUAUCAUAAUCUUUUGAUUGUGGAAUUGGGCUUUUAUUUCAUUUUAAUGAUUCAUGGCCUUAAAUUUAUGUUACCGCUUGUUUAAUAUGAAAUUCGACCGAAUGGAGCAAUUAAACAUUCUCUCGUUAGGCGGAUUCAUCAAGCAAUUACGAUUUUUUGGCCGCCGAAGGACUUUUUAACAAGUGCUUGGCUGAGAUCGUGAAUUUUUUAAC